rnacentral:rRNA from 1 species
GGGGGAAUCUUGCGCAAUGGGCGGAAGCCUGACGCAGCAACGCCGCGUGGGGGAUGACGGCCUUCGGGUUGUAAACCUCUUUCGCGAUCGACGAAGCUCCAUCUUUCUGGUGGGGUGACGGUAGGUCGAGAAGAAGCACCGGCCAACUACGUGCCAGCAGCCGCGGUAAUACGUAGGGUGCGAGCGUUGUCCGGAAUUAUUGGGCGUAAAGAGCUCGUAGGCGGUGUGUCGCGUCGGCCGUGAAAACCUGGGGCUCAACUCUGGGCGUGCGGUCGAUACGGGCAUCACUUGAGUUCGGCAGGGGAGACUGGAAUUCCUGGUGUAGCGGUGAAAUGCGCAGAUAUCAGGAGGAACACCGGUGGCGAAGGCGGGUCUCUGGGCCGAUACUGACGCUGAGGAGCGAAAGCAUGGGUAGCGAACAGGAUUAGAUACCCUGGUAGUCCAUGCCGUAAACGUUGGGCGCUAGGUGUGGGGUCCAUUCCACGGGUUCCGUGCCGCAGCUAACGCAUUAAGCGCCCC